rnacentral:misc_RNA from 1 species
GGCCAUUCAAUCCAUCCUUUCAUCCCUCGAGUAACAUGUGGAUUCGCCAAGUCCCUUAGUAGCCUAGGCCUUCCUUCACACAACUUUCUUUUCGGAGAAGUUCUCUUCAGACUAGAAAUUGUGUCAUUUGAGCUCCUCCAGUCUCUACCAUCAUCAAAUGUUAUCUUACUGCGUCUGCUGUUACUUAGGCUUGAUGAUCCCAAAAGCGCAGCAGUGAAAGGUAUGUUAUGUGAUGAUUGUUCA